rnacentral:tmRNA from 1 species
GGGGGUGACAUUGGUUUCGACGGGANNNNNNNNCUGUGCACACUGGGGAUUGAAAGAACGUCGAUACAGUGUGAUAGCCUAACCAAAUGUCCGGAUAGGUUGAGCGAAAUUUUUUCCGGAAUAGUUCCGGCAUAAUCUGUUUGUCGAUGAUGUCGGAAUGAAAUUAAAAGACAAACUAUGUGUGUAGAAGUUCAUAGAAAGGUAAUUUCGGACCCGGGUUCGACUCCCGGCACCUCCACCA